rnacentral:rRNA from 1 species
UUUAUGGAGAGUUUGAUCCUGGCUCAGGAUGAACGCUGGCGGCGUGCCUAAUACAUGCAAGUCGAGCGAACGGACGAGAAGCUUGCUUCUCUGAUGUUAGCGGCGGACGGGUGAGUAACACGUGGAUAACCUACCUAUAAGACUGGGAUAACUUCGGGAAACCGGAGCUAAUACCGGAUAAUAUUUUGAACCGCAUGGUUCAAAAGUGAAAGACGGUCUUGCUGUCACUUAUAGAUGGAUCCGCGCUGCAUUAGCUAGUUGGUAAGGUAACGGCUUACCAAGGCAACGAUGCAUAGCCGACCUGAGAGGGUGAUCGGCCACACUGGAACUGAGACACGGUCCAGACUCCUACGGGAGGCAGCAGUAGGGAAUCUUCCGCAAUGGGCGAAAGCCUGACGGAGCAACGCCGCGUGAGUGAUGAAGGUCUUCGGAUCGUAAAACUCUGUUAUUAGGGAAGAACAUAUGUGUAAGUAACUGUGCACAUCUUGACGGUACCUAAUCAGAAAGCCACGGCUAACUACGUGCCAGCAGCCGCGGUAAUACGUAGGUGGCAAGCGUUAUCCGGAAUUAUUGGGCGUAAAGCGCGCGUAGGCGGUUUUUUAAGUCUGAUGUGAAAGCCCACGGCUCAACCGUGGAGGGUCAUUGGAAACUGGAAAACUUGAGUGCAGAAGAGGAAAGUGGAAUUCCAUGUGUAGCGGUGAAAUGCGCAGAGAUAUGGAGGAACACCAGUGGCGAAGGCGACUUUCUGGUCUGUAACUGACGCUGAUGUGCGAAAGCGUGGGGAUCAAACAGGAUUAGAUACCCUGGUAGUCCACGCCGUAAACGAUGAGUGCUAAGUGUUAGGGGGUUUCCGCCCCUUAGUGCUGCAGCUAACGCAUUAAGCACUCCGCCUGGGGAGUACGACCGCAAGGUUGAAACUCAAAGGAAUUGACGGGGA